UGUGCCCAGCGGAGCCUCUGAGGCCUCAGCAGAAAAGGGAUGAGUCACAGCUGGUGAGCUGGCUUGCCAGGCCGGACACUGGCCAAUAAUUAACACGACAAUUGCCCUGCAGGCUCCGACUUGGAGACUGGGCUACUAAAAGGAGUGUGCGGGGCUCGAGUUCCUCCCCUGCCUCUCCACUUCCUGAGACUUUAGAUCCUGUCCCCAUACCUCCCAUCUGCAGUCUCCCUGCGCCAGAAAGAAAGAGGUUAGGAGCAGUCAGCUUCCAGCCCAAAAUCCACCGAAGACUGCCAGUAAAGACGUUCAUGAAAGAGCAAUUGUACGGCCCAGCGAUUUCUUCGGACACCCGCCCAAGAACUGGAUGGUAAACCCAGAAGCCAGGUCACCAGCCACAUCCUACAGGGACACCUUUUGGUUGCUACUGACCCCUCCUGGAGUGAUUAGGGCUGCAAGUUGAAGAGGCCCAGAGAAAGGGAAAAACAAAAUUCCAAAAACAACAAAACAAGUGGUUCUGAGUUCGCUGUUCACAGUGAUGUUUGCCUGGGACUGGAACUCAGUAUGUCCAGGCCACAAGUGCUGGAUUUACAGAUGUGCGCCACCAAGUCUGGCUUUGGUCCUGGGGAUCCUGCGUUUUAAACAGUGUCAUGGUGGUCCAGGCUGCACUGAAACUCAGCAAUCUUCCUGCCUCAGGCUCCUGAAUGCUGAACCGUAAACGCUUCUAUCAAUGAGACUAAGAACCCUGAGAGGGGACCCUGAUUUCCCCCAUAUCAUCAGGUUAUGGAACAGGUUUCCAGUGAGUUCUCCAGGAGCAGGCUUACUGGAGGAAAAGGGAUUUCAGGAGCUGUUGAGAAAGCAAGGUGGUAUUUUGGAACAAAACUAAGGAGAACCCUGACUCAUACUGGCUUAAAACCGAAACGGUCCUGGCCUCGGCUUAGAAUAAACAGUCAUCUCUUCGUGGGACAAUUUAUAAGCAGGACCAGCCCAGGAUGUGAAGGGCUCACAUGUGUCUGACCCGCUGUGGAUAAGUAACCUCUGCAGAUCCCUCCCCUUGACUCCUGGCUGACCUGGGACUCUGCGUUAACAGAACUAAAGGCUGAAACUCAGUGCUGGCUUUAGUGCGGCACUGAGGAAAAACAGGUUUAAAAUAGGAUUUAAAAAGGGCUGGGGGGUUUGA
rnacentral:sRNA from 1 species